GUUGAAGACUCUUUGUGGAAAUUAUGCCCAUCCGUUGAUUCUAAUUAAUUAUUUUGAAUAAUUGAUAAUAUAUUUGAUGUGGAUAUAUCAAGGUAUAUUUAUCAACUCUUCAAAUAAUGGAAAUUGAGUUUUUAAAUGUCUGUGCAUUCUUAAUGUUGUGUAGCUUGAAUCAUAUGUCAAAUUCAAGAACCAGGUAUCUUAAGACAAACCAACCAUCAAAUCUGGAGAAAAAUAGCUACUUUCAAGAAUACAUGCUAAAAUUUUCUUGGCUGCCAUGAACUCAGCAUUUUUGCUUCACCAUGCCCUUCUGCCGUGAUGCUCCUGUCUCGGAGCCAUGGGUGGAUUCCCUGAACCAUGAGCCAAGUGUUUAUGUUUAAAAAGUCCUUGAAAUAGCUAUAGGUUAGAAAGCAAUCUUGAAUUGGAAAAUGGUGGAACAGUGAGUGGCACAAGCAAUUUUCCCAGGAUAAAAUGCCUGCUACCUGGAAAUUAUCAACCUGAAGCUCCCCCCAAAAAUGGUGCAGAGGGCACUCCAGAACAUCAAGGGAAUGGACAGAGGAGAAGCAGAAAAUAGGAUCCAAUACUACAGAAGAAUUAGAUUAAUCAUACAGAACAGAGACACUCAACCCAGAAAAUUGACAGUAUACCUGCCUCCACAGAAAUCUGUGAAAACAACUCAGCCACUCACUGAGAAACAGAGUCCCAGACCCAAAAUGGAAGAGGCCUGUACAACCAGAGGCAGUGGCAAAAACACCAGAUAAUAUUCCCAGGCAGGUCCAGCCCGGAGGAAAAAAA
rnacentral:lncRNA from 1 species